rnacentral:rRNA from 1 species
UACGGAGGGUGCAAGCGUUGUUCGGAAUUAUUGGGCGUAAAGGGCGCGUAGGCGGUUGUAUAAGUCAGAUGUGAAAUCCUUCGGCUUAACUGAAGAACUGCAUUUGAUACUGUGCAACUAGAGUACUGGAGAGGGAAAUGGAAUUCCCGGUGUAGAGGUGAAAUUCGUAGAUAUCGGGAGGAACACCAGUGGCGAAGGCGAUUUCCUGGCCAGAUACUGACGCUGAGGCGCGAAAGCGUGGGGAGCAAACAGG